rnacentral:rRNA from 1 species
CAGCCGCCGCGGUAACACGAAGGGGGCUAGCGUUGUUCGGAUUUACUGGGCGUAAAGGGCGCGUAGGCGGACUGAUAAGUCAGGGGUGAAAUCCCAAGGCUCAACCUUGGAACUGCCUUUGAUACUGUUUGUCUUGAGUUCGAGAGAGGUAAGUGGAACUGCGAGUGUAGAGGUGAAAUUCGUAGAUAUUCGCAAGAACACCAGUGGCGAAGGCGGCUUACUGGCUCGAAACUGACGCUGAGGCGCGAAAGCGUGGGGAGCAAACAGGAUUAGAUACCCGGGUAGUCCCUGUCUCUUAUAU